GGGGGGGCAAUUUCCGGGUUUUUAAAAAAUAAAAAAAUAAAAUAAAAUUUAACUUAAAAAAAAAAAUAUAUAUAUAUAACUUUUUGGCAUUUGAGGACCCAACUUAUUCAAUCUGUAAUCAUGAAAAUGGGUAUAUUUUAUUCCUAGUGCUCCAGGAAGUCUUCUUUUCCAACUUCAUUGACUGGAAAGUAGCGGAGCACAGCGCCUGAGGAAUGAGGAAUCUUUUUCAUCCCAUCCAUUUCUUUCUUUGGCGAAAUGCAAGGCCGCAAAUGAAGAUGAGGGGAUUUCUGUAUCUGCGCAUAUACCCUGAACCCGGUCAUUUGGCCAAUGUUCGGAUAACCUCACACAGCCGGUUUGACAAAUCAAUAGUAACAACUUGUGAAGGUAGGCCAAUAGUUUCAUUCGUCUGCCGUUGGAAAUUGGGAUCUCGGUUUGAUUUUCAAGUUAUGCAUUAGACAAGGUAGACACAUAUGUCCCCCUCUAUACUUUGUAUUAAAGGCAUGGCUAGUGGUAAAAAAUAGCAUCUGUUAAAUUAUAUUUAUGAUAUUUUUAAGAUAUUAUGUUAUAUAUUAAAAUAUAACUAUAUUUAUGAUAUUAGUUCUAUAUUAUGUUAAAUGGUAUUAGAAACGAUACUAUUUUAUUUUAGUUCUACGGUAUUAAGUUAAAUUAUAUUAGAAAUAUGGAAUACGAUGCUAUUUUAUUUUAGUUCUACGGUAUUAAGUUAAAUUAUAUUAGAAAUAUGGAAUACGAUGCUAUUUUAUUUUAGUUCUACGGUAUUAAGUUAAAUUAUAUUAGAAAUAUGGAAUACGAUGCUAUUUUAUUUUAGUUCUACAAUAUUAAGUUAAAUUAUAUUAGAAAUAUGGAAUACGAUGCUAUUUUAUUUUAGUUCUACGGUAUUAAGUUAAAUUAUAUUAGAAAUAUGGAAUACGAUGCUAUUUUAUGAUAUUAGUUCUACGAUAUUAAGUUAAAUAAUAUUAGAAAUAUGGAAUACGAUACUAUUUUAUUUUAGUUCUACGGUAUUAAGUUAAAUUAUAUUAGAAAUAUGGAAUACGAUGCUAUUUUAUUUUAGUUCUACGGUAUUAAGUUAAAUUAUAUUAGAAAUAUGGAAUACGAUGCUAUUUUAUUUUAGUUCUACGGUAUUAACUUAAAUUAUAUUAGAAAUAUGGAAAACGAUGCUAUUUCAUGAUAUUCGUUCUACGAUAUUAUGUUCUAUGAUAUUGGAAAAAUAAAGUAUAAAGCCAUGUCUCCUAUAUUAGUUUUACUAUAUUAUGUCAUAUUAGUGUUUCCCCUAGGUUUCCAACUAUGGGGGGGGCGGACGUACCGGAGGGGGGCAUGGGUGUUGGGGCGCGCCGGGGGAUAUAAUGGUAGGGAAAACACUGUAUAUGAUAUUAUGUUAUAUAAUAUUAGAAAUAAAGGUGUAAUGCCAUGUCUGCUAUAUUAGUUCUACUAUAUUAUGUCAUAUCAGUGUUUCCCCUAGGUUUCCAACUUUGGGGGGGCGGACGUACCGGAGGGGGGCGUGGGUGUUGGGACGCGCCGGGGGAUAUUAUGGUAUGGAAAACACUUUAUAUGAUAUUAAGUUAUAUAAUAUUAGAAAUAUUAAGUAUAAUACUAUGUUUGUUAUAUUAGUCCUACAUAUUGCUAUAUGAUAUUAGUCCUAUAUUAUUUUGUUAUUAUCUAUGAUAUUACAAAUAUGAAGUAUGAUAAUAUGUUAUAUAUAUUGGCAUGGCAUCACUGGAAUAUUGGUAUGGCAUCAUUGAAACUAUAGAGGGGGACAUGUGUGUCUACCUUGCCUAAUGCAUAACUUGAAAAAUCAAACCGAGAUCCCAAUUUCCAACGACAGACGAAUGAAACUAUCGGUCUACCUUCACAAGUUGUCACUGUUGAUUCGUCAACCCAGCCGUGGUAGUUCAUCCAAACACCGGCCAAAUGGCCAGGUUCAGGGUAUAUGCGCAGAUACAGAAAUCCCCUCAUCUUCAUCUGCAGCCUUGCAUUAACCAAAGAAGGAAAUGGAUGAGAUGAAAAAGAUUCCUUAUUCCUCAGAGGCCGUGCUACUGUCCAGUCGAUGAAGUUGGAAAAAAACACUUCCUGGAGCACAGGGAAUAAAAUAUACAAUGGCAAUGAUAUUUACCAAUGCACGAGGAGGCGGUCCAUGCCCGGGGGGGUAUUUAGCGCUGUGAAGCGCAGGUGGAAGGGGAGCGGGGGUAGAUGGAUGAGGUGGGAUGGAGUGGGAGGUGAAGGAAGGUGUUCUUACAGGUGUCCAGUCUCAGGCACAUUGAUGUUGACGUCCUGGAUGGUCUCCUUUUUCUUCUCUUCUCUCUCCUAUUUCUUUGUCUCCUUGUCCUGCGUCUUGCGCCUCAUUUUGUCCACCUCCGUCUGCCGGUCUUGCAUCCGUCUCCCAAAGAUGCCUCUUUUUUUUAAAGUCGAGGCAGAUGUUUUCAAGGACUGUCGUCCUCUAAUUCUUGGAUCCUGGUGAUGAAGAUCUGAUGUUCUUUGGAGAUGGUAUCCUCCGUUUGUUGGAUCUUAGAGAUCAGGCACAACUGGGUAUACUCUUGGCUCUUUUUUAAAGAUGCCAGAGAAUCCCUCUGGGUCUUCAGCAGUUUGUGUUCUGCUUCCAACUGCUGCCAGGUCUCGUUGUUGACCGUGAGUUCAGCACUUUUGACAGAAAGUUGUUUUGUGGUCUCGGUGAGCUUCAGAGAUAAACCCUCGUUCUCCCUGAUAGUCUCAUCCAGAGCCUCUGUCUUGAUCUUUAGCAGUUUGUGUUCUUCUUCCAACUGUUGGUUGUUGGCCUGCUGCUUGUGCAGCUUCUCUUGAAGAGAAAUGUUGGUGGAGAGUAACCCUGUUACUUUGACCAUGAGUUCAGCAUUUUUGACAACGAGAUGUUCGAUCUCUCUGACCUUCAGAGAUAAACCGUCGUUCUCCCUGAUAAGGUCUGAAAACCUCUUUCUGUUCUUGUCAACCAUCUGCUCAUAGGCAAGAUCUUUGCCUUUUAACAUGUUGGUCAAUUCGGACUUCACCGUUUCAGUGUGUGCGGUGAGUUCGCUCACUUGCCUUUUCAGGCAGUGCACUUCAUUCUGUGCACGAGAAAGUGCAAUGUUCACAUUGUAUCUGGUGGAAGGAGUCCCGAGAAGGGAAGCGCCAGCUCCCUGGUUGUUUCCACGGUACAUGUUAAAUGACACUUGUAGUCUUGAAAAAGACUUUUGGACAGCCCUGAAAAGGUGUCUUUAUAUGCCGAACCUGUAAAUAAAGGCACUAUUUGCCGUACUGUCAGAAGUGUGUGUUUGGCACUGAAAUCCAUCUUUAUUACCUUCCCUGGCCCCAGAAGAAUGUGUCACAUCAAAGAGGAUUUCCACAAGACAGUCCACAUAUUCCGUGUAAAUGGGUGAUUGUGUUUGAUGUUGUGAGAUGCAUGUAAUGGUAAAAUAUGUUAAAACAUUAUCUUGUGCUAAACCCGGGUCUCAAGUGUCCGUAUUUGACCCUGACGUGCAAAGAGCAGCAUGAUACAAAAUGUUGGUUUGCAGCUGUGUCCUGAGAAGGCCUCGAUCUCGAUCUCAUAGACGCUUUAAUACAAGGGACUUCUGUUCAUGGCCUUGGUUCAUAUCUUAUUUGCUUCUCGUACCUGGCACUGAGGAUGGUCUUCACAUGUGCAUAAAAACUCAGCGUUUUUACUCCUCGGAGACUUUACACCGAACGCUGAAAUACGUGCUUGUGUGUUCGACCUUCUGCUUAUAAGCAAUAGUUAGAGCCAGAUAUCUGCGGAGAAUUGCUCAUGUAAUCUUUUUCUCUUCUAAAUAAAUGUUAACUUUUUUACUUUAAUUGAUCAACGUGUUGAGAUCCUUCUCACCAACCAACUCGGGGGGAUCGGAGAUCCCGACAAUGUACUGGAGAAUGUAGCACGUAUGAAGAGGGCAGGUUCUGCAGGUGGAACACAGUAAGUAGCUGUCCCACCCUGGAUCCCUUCCAUCACAGGCUGCCUUCUCCUCAGCCGGGGUGAAGCCUGGUGCUGGUGCCCCCCGCCAGACAAAUGAGCCUUCUUAACUGCUUAAAUCAGUUUAAAUCAAAUAUGUGAGCAGGCAUCUUGUUCAUCAAGUUAUUUCUACACCAUUAGCAAACUGAUCAACUGGCCAAAUGUUUUUAUAUUUUAUCUUGACCUGUUCCAGUCUUGUUUGUUCUGUAUGAACCUUAAUUGUAGAAAGAUAUUUAGAAUUAGACACAGUUUAUAGAGAUUUGUGCAUAUGGUUGUAAAACAUUCUCGCAUUGUGAAUAAGGGUUUGAAAUGAGUCUUUAGGGUAAAUUUCCACAGGAAAAUGAAUUCCCUCUGCUCACUUUUAAGGCAAAGUAGGAUAAAUAAUAAUACUAUAUUGUAUUUAUAUAGUGCUUUACAUGGUAGGCUACUCAAAGACACUUUACAGUAAAACCAGCACAUUUAGCACAUAAACACGUAGCAAAAUCAUUAAAAGCCAAUAAAACAGUCUACAACUUUCCUAGCAAGUACAUAUUUUUAAAUCCUUUCGCAUUCAGUCGGUCCACGAUUGUUUGCCUGGGUUUUUCUCUUUGUUUAAUUACAGCUGCAGCUCUUUAUUUUCUUGGCUUCAGGUGCAGUCAGGAUGCAAAGCUCAAUAUAUGUUAUCAGAAUUUGCUAGUUGGCAUGUUCAUUAUGCAGCCUCCAAAAGAGUUAACAUAGAUCCAACAAUGCGGUGAGCAUUACAAAUCAUAGUACUCUUUGCACUGCAGGCCUGAGAUGGAAAUAAUUUUACCAUGAUCCAAAUAAUUGCCUAUGAGAGCAACAUGACAGCAAUGAACACAUAAUCUGUUUAGUGAAACAGUGUACUGUAAUCACACUUUUCAACAAAGCAAUUGGUUAACCAGUAUGUUCAGGCUUCAUGAGCAAAUACAGAAUCCCUUUGUGUUCAUUUCCAAAGCCGUGUUGUGCCAGACUCUCAAUAAAACAUUCAGGACAAACCCACAGUCAUGAAGAUGCUCAUUUAAUGUUACAUGGAAUCUGCGUGAGGAGGAGGAAGAGGAAGAGGAAGAGGAGGAGGCUCCAUGUCGAUAAAUACCAACUUUCCACCGACCACUUUUCCCACCCGGUGUCGCUCCGAUCUGCCGGCGCAUCGCGGAGAAAACCAAUCGGGUGUCUGGAUGCUAAAUGUUUAUACUUCUCAUCCAACUACAAUCACAUUCACUGUC
ensembl:lncRNA